rnacentral:rRNA from 1 species
GCAAGUCGAACGAUUAAAGCUCACUUCGGUGAGUGCAUAGAGUGGCGUACGGGAGAGUAACACGUAAGUAAUCUACCCUCGGGUGGGGAAUAACUUAAGGAAACUUAAGCUAAUACCGCAUAAUGCGAUGGCUUCAUAUGAAGACCAUUGUUAAAGCAUUUAUGCGCCUGGGGAGGAGCUUGCGGCAGAUUAGCUAGUUGGUAAGGUAAUGGCUUACCAAGGCGACGAUCUGUAGCCGGUCUAAGAGGACGGUC